CAUGCAAGUCGAGGGGCAGCGAGGGAGUGGCAACACUUCUGUCGGCGACCGGCGCACGGGUGAGUAACGCGUAUGCAACCUGCCCUUCACAGGGGGAUAACCGGGAGAAAUUCCGACUAAUACCGCAUACGUCCUCCGGGGGCAUCCCCGGGGGAUGAAAGAAUUAUCGGUGAAGGAUGGGCAUGCGUGAUAUUAGGUAGUUGGCGGGGCAACGGCCCACCAAGCCCACGAUAUCUAGGGGUUCUGAGAGGAAGGUCCCCCACAUUGGUACUGAGACACGGACCAAACUCCUACGGGAGGCAGCAGUGAGGAAUAUUGGUCAAUGGACGAGAGUCUGAACCAGCCAAGUCGCGUGAAGGAAGACGGAUCUAUGGUUUGUAAACUUCUUUAGUGCGGGAACAAAGCGGCGUCGUGACGCCUGAUGAGUGUACCGCAAGAAUAAGCAUCAGCUAACUCCGUGCCAGCAGCCGCGGUAAUACGGAGGAUGCGAGCGUUAUCCGGAUUUAUUGGGUUUAAAGGGAGCGCAGGCUGCGAGGCAAGUCAGCGGUCAAAUGUCGGGGCUCAACCCCGGCCUGCCGUUGAAACUGUCCUGCUAGAGUUCGAGUGAGGUAUGCGGAAUGCGUUGUGUAGCGGUGAAAUGCAUAGAUAUGACGCAGAACUCCGAUUGCGAAGGCAGCAUACCAACUCGCGACUGACGCUGAGGCUCGAAAGCGUGGGUAUCGAACAGGAUUAGAUACCCUGGUAGUCCACGCAGUAAACGAUGAAUACUAACUGUUCGGAGGGCGACCUCUGAGUGGUAAAGCGAAAGCGUUAAGUAUUCCACCUGGGGAGUACGCCGGCAACGGUGAAACUCAAAGGAAUUGACGGGGGCCCGCACA
rnacentral:rRNA from 1 species